rnacentral:lncRNA from 1 species
CUUCUUCCCUCCCUCCUUCCUUCAUUCCUUCCACCUUUUCUUGUUUCAGUUUUUAUUCUUUCUUUCUCCUUCUUCUACCUCUUUUUCAUUUCAUUUCUUUUUUUUUUUUUUUGAGCCAAGGCUUGGCCUUGUUGCUCUAGCUGGGUUCACCCUCUCUACUCCCCACCCCCACCCCUGCCACAGCAUCUACCUUCCCUGGGGAGGAGGGCUUCUCUGCUGUUUUCCCCUGCCUGGUGUGAGCUCACAUUCUCUGUGUGUUGCACAGGCCUCAUAACCAUCAGUUGUUACUGAUGCUUGUUUUGGUUGUCAAAGAAGAAUGAGGAGAGGAGAUAUAGGAGGUGGACUUGGAGGUUUGUUCGGAGUCACUGGCUGCAGCAAGUCUCCUCCCACACAGCCGACCCCAUUCCUCAGACCUGCACUCUGUACAGCAUGGCUACUGACCAACUCAUGGUUAAAUGGAAGCUGGGCCUCCAAGCCCUUCUCGGACUCAGAAUCCUCCCAGCAGAUACCCAGGCAGAGGAGUGUGAACUCUCAGCCCCUAAAAAGGACUGCCCUGUGAGGCAGGCUCACAAGUGCCUAGAGGAUCUUCUGUACUGACUACAAGCCUCUAAGUGAAGAAGCAAAACAGGCUCUGGAUCUUGGAGGUCCUUGAAUUCUCCUGGGGCUCAACUUGAGGAUGCUCACGGCUCAGGCCUGAGAGGGGAGAAGCAUAGUGGGCAGGCAUCUCCUCUCUGAUCACCUACUUAGGUUUUGGUUCCCCAAGGAUGAUUUGCUGCCAUCCUGCUCAGGAGUGUGUGAAAAACACAGAAUGACAGGUGCCACUCCAGGCCCACUAAAUUCAAAUCUCUUGGGACAGGGCUUGGGAUUCUGCAUUGUCACCAGGGCCAUGCAUAGGCAAGUUAAAGUUGCAGACCUCCACUGUGGGGAGUAAUUGCCACCUUGCACAGUUUCUCCUUGGUUCUACAGGUAAGGAUGGAGUUUUGGGAAGACUCACAUAUAUAGAAUCUCAUUUUGGAUUCCGGGCAGGAAGUGAAUUAUUUAUAUUCAAAUGUAUCCUGACAGCAGAGAAACACACACAGAGGCUUUUGAUAACGUGGAUAGGUCUGUUGGAUUGUACCUCCAAAAAAAUCCCAGAGACAGAUUUAAAACCUCAUGACAUUCCCCAGCAGACCAUGUGUAAAUCCACAUGAUGGCAGAGUUACUUUUAAAAACAAAAAAAGCAUUAGCCGGGCG